UACGUAGGGUGCAAGCGUUGUCCGGAAUUAUUGGGCGUAAAGAGCUCGUAGGCGGUUUGUUGCGUCGGCUGUGAAAUCCCGAGGCUCAACCUCGGGUCUGCAGUCGAUACGGGCAGACUUGAGUGCUGUAGGGGAGACUGGAAUUCCUGGUGUAGCGGUGAAAUGCGUAGAUAUCUGGAGGAACACCGGUGGCGAAGGCGGCAUCCUGGACCGGCAUUGACGCUGAGGAGCGAAAGCCAGGGGAGCAAAGCGGG
rnacentral:rRNA from 1 species